rnacentral:rRNA from 1 species
UAGCUAGUUGGUGAGGUAACGGCCCACCAAGGCGACGAUUGGUAGCCGGACUGAGAGGUUGAACGGCCACAUUGGGACUGAGACACGGCCCAGACUCCUACGGGAGGCAGCAGUGGGGGAUAUUGCACAAUGGGGGAAACCCUGAUGCAGCGACGCCGCGUGGAGGAAGAAGGUUUUCGGAUUGUAAACUCCUGUCGUUAGGGACGAUAAUGACGGUACCUAACAAGAAAGCACCGGCUAACUACGUGCCAGCAGCCGCGGUAAAACGUAGGGUGCAAGCGUUGUCCGGAAUUACUGGGUGUAAAGGGAGCGCAGGCGGACCGGCAAGUUGGAAGUGAAAACUAUGGGCUCAACCCAUAAAUUGCUUUCAAAACUGCUGGCCUUGAGUAGUGCAGAGGUAGGUGGAAUUCCCGGUGUAGCGGUGGAAUGCGUAGAUAUCGGGAGGAACACCAGUGGCGAAGGCGACCUACUGGGCACCAACUGACGCUGAGGCUCGAAAGCAUGGGUAGCAAACAGGAUUAGAUACCCUGGUAGUCCAUGCCGUAAACGAUGAUUACUAGGUGUUGGAGGAUUGACCCCUUCAGUGCCGCAGUUAACACAAUAAGUAAUCCACCUGGGGAGUACGACCGCAAGGUUGAAACUCAAAGGAAUUGACGGGGGCCCGCACAAGCAGUGGAGUAUGUGGUUUAAUUCGAAGCAACGCGAAGAACCUUACCAGGUCUUGACAUCCGAUGCAUAGCUUAGAGAUAAGUGAAGUCCUUCGGGACAUCGAGACAGGUGGUGCAUGGUUGUCGUCAGCUCGUGUCGUGAGAUGUUGGGUUAAGUCCCGCAACGAGCACAACCCUUAUUGCCAGUUACUACGAAAGAGGACUCUGGCGAGACUGCCGUUGACAAAACGGAGGAAGGUGGGGAUGACGUCAAAUCAUCAUGCCCUUUAUGACCUGGGCUACACACGUACUACAAUGGCGUUUAACAAAGAGAAGCAAGACCGCGAGGUGGAGCAAAACUCAAAAACAACGUCUCAGUUCAGAUUGCAGGCUGCAACUCGCCUGCAUGAAGUCGGAAUUGCUAGUAAUCGCGGAUCAGCAUGCCGCGGUGAAUACGUUCCCGGGCCUUGUACACACCGCCCGUCACACCAUGAGAGCCGGGGGGACCCGAAGUCGGUAGUCUAACCGCAAGGAGGACGCCGCCGAAGGUAAAACUGGUGAUUGGGGUGAAGUCGUAACAAGGUAACCGUA